rnacentral:pre_miRNA from 1 species
GGGGGGAGACUGGAUCCUGGGCUGUGUCCCGGCGCCCUGUGCUCCCGGGACCUGUGCUGUUGGAUUCGCGCUCCCGCCCCGCAGCCCCCU